CCCGCAACGAGGGAAAAAAUUGGCAUUAGUUGCUACUAAAGGGCACUCUUAUGAGACUGCCGGUGAUUAACCGGAGGAAGGUGGGGAUUUACUUCAAGUCCUCUUGGCCCUUAUAGGUGGGGCUACACACGUCAUACAAUGGCUGGUACAGAGGGGUGCCAACCUGCGAGGGGGAUCUAUUCCCAUAAAACCAGUCGUAGUCCGGAUCGCAAUCUGCAACUCGACUGCGUGAAGUCGGAAUCGCUUUUUUUCUUGGAUCACAAUGUCUCGGUUAAUACUUU
rnacentral:rRNA from 1 species